ACACAGAAGGUGUUUAUCAGCCUGUGGAGUGAGAAUUCUCAAAAUUAUUACUCAGGUUUUUCGGUUUUGGUUUUUUUCAUUAGAAAACCAGAGCAAAGGCCGUAUCAACGUUCAGGCCUUCAACCACUAGAGGUGCUUCAACGAUGCAGAUCCAGACGGACAUCGCUAGUGACACAUCACCUCUGAGCCUGCAGGGCCCAUCCCUGCAAGGAGCCGUGAACACCAUCGUCGCCCUCGGCGCGGCAGCGGCCAAAUCCUGGGGGGAAUGCCCGCGGUUAUAAUAAGCUUUCUCACGAUGGGCCUUGGGAGGAAUUAGAAAUAUAAUUUUUCAGGCGCUUACAAAAUAUCAAGUAAUUGGAGCUUCUGCACAUAAAAGGGGCACACCAUGAGAUUUGUGGCUCCCUUUUUAAAAGAACCUAUUUAUAUAUUAAAACGAUAAAAUACGUCCAAGGGAGCGCUGGCCCCACAAUGUU